UUCUUUAACAAGGAAACCCUAACUGUUGUUUCCUCUAUCCCAGCCCAAGCCAUUUGGUGGCUUACAAAGGUGACAAACUCAAGGAAAAAAUGGCAGAGACAGGGAAGAUUAAAAUAUAGGAUCAAGAAAAGGCGUCUAUGCUUAGAUGACAUGAGAUGCUAGGACAAGUUAGCCAAGCAGGAAAAGCACUGGUGGGAGAUACAGCACCUGCUAUGGCACAGCUCAGUCCUGAGGCCUGCAGUGGAAAAGGGAGGCGGACCCACCAGGCUGGCCAAGAGAUGGGAGGCAUGACCGUGAAUCCCGUAACUUCAGGAGAUGAGAAACUUCAGAAUGUAACUUUCCCAUAGAAACAAAUACCAGUCAUCCUGGAACUCCAAAUGUGUCCUGGCUACUCUAGGACCAACAAAGAAGAACUUGGAAGGAACACGAAGAUCAAAUCUAAUGCUGACUGCAAGGAAGAUGACAAUGCACUGACCAAGAAAUAGGCUGUAGAAAAGAGCUUCUGGUUGCUGACUGCAUCCUCCAGGCCUGGACACCCGC